AGACCUCCCUCUCCAAUUUUUUAAAUUUUAAUAUUUUGAUAUAAAAUAUAAAAUAUAAACCUCCCGCCUCCUGGGAGUUUUUAAAAUUUAGUGAAUCAAUUUAUUUUAUAUCGGGCCUAAUAGUACCCUGGGUGCCAGAGGUUCUUCCACGCUCGUAGGGGGGAUAAUGAGGGAUACACGAGGAUUCAAGCUGGGCGGAGGCGAGCGGGAAGAACCUCUGGAACACUUCUAUGGUUUCUCAG